GGUAGCUCGUCAGGCUCAUAACCUGAAGGUCGCAGGUUCAAAUCCUGCCCCCGCAACCA
rnacentral:tRNA from 1 species